UUUGCCUCGAAGCUGGAGUGAUACGAAUGAAGAAGCUGUGACUGUCACAACAACUGUUCUCCCCAA
rnacentral:sRNA from 1 species